CCGUGCUCGACGUGCAUUCUUCAGCCACCGCGCCCCCUCCACUCUCUCCUCCCCCUCCCUGUCACUGUCCCGAACCCUAAACCUUUUCCCUCUCCAUCCCGCAGCCGCCUCCCCUAGCUCCGAGGCGUGUGGACGCGGAGGCGAGUUUCUCCGGCGGCAGUGGCAACCUGCAAGCAAAGGGCAGCGGCGGCGCUCUAUUUGAUCUGCAGGAGAGAGAUGGAGAGGAGGGACGCCACCAUGGGAGAGUAGGGCCAACAUGGUUUUCGUGGUGGGCAUGGAGUAGCAGAGGACGAUGGCGGUGGGGGGUGGGAGCAGAGUAGCAGGACUUCCAGGCGGCGCUCGCGUCAUGGUAGAGUGGAGGAGCUCGUCGUUCAUCAUCACCAUCCCCAAUCUAGAUCUGAGAUAGAAAAGAAGAGAAAGAUUUAUUGGCGGUUAUUCUUUUGCUGGGACUCUCCUGAACUCACCGGAGAGAGCUGGGAUGGAGGCGACUCUGAGGAAGAUGAAGGCCAAGAGCGGUGCCGCCCCGGGGAGAGGAAGCCGGUGUUGUCGAGGACGAUACUGCUCCUCUGCGCCUGUGGCUUCAUCCUUGGCGUGCUCUUAACUGACCGGCCUGCAGCUGAUAUGUGUUCUAUGGGGAUGGUUUGGUCAGAUUCAGAGCGAUGCCGGAUUUAAAGAGCCAGGUGGUGGCGCAGCUGCUGCGGUUACAGGAGGAGGAGCUGCAGAUCGUUUCUGAAGAUUUUGUUGCCAAGGCGAAACCAUCUGACGACAGGGACGUGAUGGGAAAGUGGCAAAGACUCAUGAGGCCAUACAAUGGAGCUGGCAGCGCGGCGCAGCAAGCAUGAGCUGCUUGAGAGUGCGGAUGACAAGGCAAGAAAGGAAAAAGGCUUUUAUGGUGAUCGGGAUCAAUACCGCGUUCAGUAGCAAGAAGCGCCGUGAUUCUGUCAGGGAGAGAUGGAUGCCUCAAGAUGAGAAACUCAAGAAACUGGAAGAGGAAAAGGGAGUCGUCAUUCGAUUUAUGAUUGGGCAUAGGGUUUAAAAUGUGAGUAUGAUGUGUGUGGAGAGAUUGUCAUCCAUGCUCAGCACCGGCCUGCAAGCACCGUCGUCUUGAUGGAUGAUGAUGAUUUAAUAGUCAAGGGGCUUCCACAGCUCUCUGCCAUUUGUGUUACCAUUAGCAGAAGGUACAUGCUUGAAGAAGCUAUUAAGCGGAUCCAUGGUACAAUUCAUGCAUUCAAGCUCACUGAUGAUAAUGACGACACAGUAAUGGCAUCAGUGAAAAUUGAUCUCCGGCCCCACAGCCAAAGCAUGUUGCCAACCCAACAGCUGUUCUUUGGAGAAUCAACUCGGUUUGCCAACGAUGCUUUAGAAUGAACGUGUUCUGCUGCUUUGGCCUAUCUGGUAACCAUGGGCAUCAUCCCAAUAGACAAUUCCAACUCGACAAGCCUCAAGAAAUGCCAAAGGGAGCUCAAAGCUGAGUAGUUCUGGUCAUCAGUGCUAUCUGAGCGGGCAGAAUCCUUUCAAAAACAGCUCGCCUCUUUGACCGCGACAAAGAAAGGGCCUCCUUCAGAAAGUGACGAUGAUAACACUCCAGCACCCAAAUGUGUAAACGAAUCAGAGGUAAUCACGCUGUUGUUCUACUUUCCGUUUGCAUUCUGACAAUACCAAAUGUUGUCUGGCCACUGACAUCUAGGAUGGCCUGAACGACGCCACCAGCUCGCUUCCACCAACAGAAGAAGCAUCAUACAAUGAACCGGAUCACGGGCCCAGCAAGAAAACAAAGUCUCAGUCAAAGACUAAAUUGACAGGUCAAAUGAUACAUAAACGGAGAUCACGCUGGAAUUUUGCCCUCUGUCUAUGCCUCAAGUAUCGAUGAUACCUCCCUGCACUAUAACUACCAUGUCCUCUUUAUUCUGUUUAUUCAGCAAAUGAUGGAUUAGACGAGGAUUUAUUCAGACUCAAUCUGUACAACAAUGGAGUAUUCAUGCAGUCUUUUAUUUAAGCUUUCAAAUGAGUGCAUUGGAUGCUGGCUUUGAGCAUUUGGCUUGCAUGUUUUUUCUUGCUGUUAUAUUAUCUAUAUACAACUUUUCCUAAAUGAGUACCACUCUAUAUGACCUUUUCUGUGCUUGCAGAUUUUUUUGGGUAUGAACUCCAACAACCAAACAAAUGCUACUGGAGACUGGAUAAUAAUGUUCAAAGAAUUUCUGUUAUGAGCUAUGAAAACAUUCAACCCCAACCACUAUGAACAAUUGCAGCGCCAAUGGUCCAAGCAUAGAGCCUAUCAGAUGAAUCUCUCCCUGCCUUCCUUCCUAAUAGCAUUGUAAAUAUUCUAUCGUAAGCUUCUUUGAAUGCUAUGUAUCAUGAAUAAUCCAUGUGUACCAAUCUGCCCCUAAAUAUAUUUAUGUUCACUCUUUACAUA